GCGCCAGCCCGUCCGCAAUCGCUUAGGUUUGAAGCUGUGAGCGCUCUGGAUCUGCCGAUCGAACUUCGCCGGGCCCUGUCCACCGUGGCCCGGACCCCUCGCCUGCUCGUCGCGUCCGACUACGACGGCACGAUGGCGCCGAUCGUCAGCGACCCCGAGAAGGCCUAUCCCCACGCGGAGUCGGUGCGGGCCCUGCGCGCGCUGGCCGGCCUGGCCGCCACGACGGCCGCCGUCAUCUCCGGACGCGCACUCAAGGACCUGGCGACGCUGUCCCGCCUGCCCGCCGAGGUGCAGCUGGUCGGCAGCCACGG
rnacentral:misc_RNA from 1 species